AUUCCAGCUCUGUAAGCGUAUACCAAAGUUGUUGCAGUUAAAACGCUCGUAGUCGAACCUUGGCGUGAGUUACGGAGGCUCCUAAUGGACGUCGAAGUAACUCCGCCUUUGUGGAGGGGGGUGUGGUGUUACUUCAUUGUAUUGCCGCAUUUCCGCCACUGUUUACUGUGAAAAAAUUAGAGUGUUCAAAGCGAGCGUUUGCCAUGAAUACAUUAGCAUGGAAUAAUAGAAUAGGACCUGGUCCUGUUUUAUUGGUUUGUCUGUAUCAGGUAAUGAUUAACAGGGACGGUCGGGGGCAUUUGUAUUCCAGCGUUAGAGGUGAAAUUCUUGGAUCGCUGGAAGACAAACAGCUGCGAAAGCGUCUGCCAAGGACGUUUUCAUCG
rnacentral:rRNA from 1 species